CAGCCGCCACGGUAAUACGGAGGGUGCAAGCGUUAAUCGGAAUUACUGGGCGUAAAGCGUGCGUAGGCGGUUCGUUAAGUCUGUUGUGAAAGCCCCGGGCUCAACCUGGGAAUGGCAAUGGAUACUGGCGAGCUAGAGUGUGUCAGAGGAUGGUGGAAUUCCCGGUGUAGCGGUGAAAUGCGUAGAGAUCGGGAGGAACAUCAGUGGCGAAGGCGGCCAUCUGGGACAACACUGACGCUCAUGCACGAAAGCGUGGGGAGCAAACAGGAUUAGAUACCCGCGUAGUCCCUGUCUCUUAUAC
rnacentral:rRNA from 1 species